rnacentral:misc_RNA from 1 species
AACAUCGCGCACCUGCGGGAACCUGCGGAAGGAUCAUUACAGAGUUGCAAAACUCCCUAAACCACUGUGAACGUUACCUAAACCGUUGCUUCGGCGGGCGGCCCGGGUCCUUCCCGGCGCCCCUCGGCCCUCGCGGGCGCCCGCCGGAGGUAAACCAAACUAUUGCAUUGUAUGGCCUCUCUGAGUCUUCUGUACUGAAUAAGUCAAAACUUUUAGCAAUGGAUCUCAGAUCGGAAGAGC